AUUGAACGCUGGCGGCAGGCCUAACACAUGCAAGUCGAGCGGAUCGGCGGCCGGGUGCGUAUUGACUAUGAAUCUGCCUGGUAGUGGUGGAUAACGUUCGGAAACGGGCGCUAAUACCGCAUACUAUCAGAUUCGCCUAGGUCGGAUUAGCUAGGUGGUGGGGUAAAGGCCUACCAAGGCGAAGAUCCGUAACUGGUCUGAGAGGAUGAUCAGUCACACUGGAACUGAGACACGGUCCAGACGCCUACGGGAGGCAGCAGUGGGGAAUAUUGGACAAUGGGCGAAAGCCUGAUCCAGCCAUGCCGCGUGUGUGAAGAAGGUCUUCGGAUUGUAAAGCACUUUAAGUUGGGAGGCGUUACCAACAGAAUAAGCACCGGCUAACUUCGUGCCAGCAGCCGCGGUAAUAC
rnacentral:rRNA from 1 species